AUUGAACGCUGGCGGCAGGCCUAACACAUGCAAGUCGAGCGGAUGAAGGGAGCUUGCUCCUGGAUUCAGCGGCGGACGGGUGAGUAAUGCCUAGGAAUCUGCCUGGUAGUGGGGGAUAACGUCCGGAAACGGGCGCUAAUACCGCAUACGUCCUGUGGGAGAAAGUGGGGGAUCUUCGGACCUCACGCUAUCAGAUGAGCCUAGGUCGGAUUAGCUAGUUGGUGGGGUAAAGGCCUACCAAGGCGACGAUCCGUAACUGGUCUGAGAGGAUGAUCAGUCACACUGGAACUGAGACACGGUCCAGACUCCUACGGGAGGCAGCAGUGGGGAAUAUUGGGCAAUGGGCGAAAGCCUGAUCCAGCCAUGCCGCGUGUGUGAAGAAGGUCUUCGGAUUGUAAAGCACUUUAAGUUGGGAGGAAGGGCAGUAAGUUAAUACCUUGCUGUUUUGACGUUACCAACAGAAUAAGCACCGGCUAACUUCGUG
rnacentral:rRNA from 1 species